rnacentral:rRNA from 1 species
CGAAGCGUGCGAUUGGAUUGCACGUCUAAGCAGUAAGGCUGAGUAUUAGGCAAAUCCGGUACUCGUUAAGGCUGAGCUGUGAUGGGGAGAAGACAUUGUGUCUUCGAGUCGUUGAUUUCACACUGCCGAGAAAAGCCUCUAGAUAGAAAAUAGGUGCCCGUACCGCAAACCGACACAGGUAGUCAAGAUGAGAAUUCUAAGGUGAGCGAGCGAACUCUCGUUAAGGAACUCGGCAAAAUGACCCCGUAACUUCGGGAGAAGGGGUGCUCUUUAGGGUUAACGCCCAGAAGAGCCGCAGUGAAUAGGCCCAAGCGACUGUUUAUCAAAAACACAGGUCUCUGCUAAACCGUAAGGUGAUGUAUAGGGGCUGACGCCUGCCCGGUGCUGGAAGGUUAAGAGGAGUGGUUAGCUUCUGCGAAGCUACGAAUCGAAGCCCCAGUAAACGGCGGCCGUAACUAUAACGGUCCUAAGGUAGCGAAAUUCCUUGUCGGGUAAGUUCCGACCCGCA